rnacentral:rRNA from 1 species
AGUGAACGCUGGCGGUAGGCCUAACACAUGCAAGUCGAACGGCAGCACAGUAAGAGCUUGCUCUUACGGGUGGCGAGUGGCGGACGGGUGAGGAAUACAUCGGAAUCUACUUUUUCGUGGGGGAUGACGUAGGGAAACUUACGCUAAUACCGCAUACGACCUACGGGUGAAAGCAGGGGAUCUUCGGACCUUGCGCGAUUGAAUGGGCCGAUGUCGGAUUAGCUAGUUGGCGGGGUAAAGGCCCACCAAGGCGACGAUCCGUAGCUGGUCUGAGAGGAUGAUCAGCCACACUGGAACUGAGACACGGUCCAGACUCCUACGGGAGGCAGCAGUGGGGAAUAUUGGACAAUGGGCGCAAGCCUGAUCCAGCCAUACCGCGUGGGUGAAGAAGGCCUUCGGGUUGUAAAGCCCUUUUGUUGGGAAAGAAAAGCAGCAGGUUAAUACCCCGCUGUUCUGACGGUACCCAAGGAAUAAGCACCGGCUAACUUCGUG